rnacentral:rRNA from 1 species
UACGUAGGGGGCAAGCGUUGUCCGGAAUUAUUGGGCGUAAAGAGCGUGUAGGCGGCCAAGUAGGUCUGCUGUGAAAACUCGAGGCUCAACUUCGAGAUGUCGGCGGAAACCAUUUGGCUAGAGUCCGGAAGAGGAGAGUGGAAUUCCUGGUGUAGCGGUGAAAUGCGCAGAUAUCAGGAAGAACACCCGUGGCGAAGGCGGCUCUCUGGGACGGUACUGACACUGAGGGACGAAAGCUAGGGGAGCGAAUGGG